rnacentral:rRNA from 1 species
UCGAAGGUAGCAUAAUCAGUAGUCUUUUAAUUGAAGGCUGGUAUGAAUGGUUGGACGAAAUAUUAACUGUUUCAUAAAAAUUUAUAAUAAAAUUUUAUUUUUUAGUUAAAAAGCUAAAAUUUAUUUAAAAGACGAGAAGACCCUAUAAAUCUUUAUAUAAUUAUUUAUUAUAAUUUUUUAGAUUUAUUUUGUUAUAAUUAAUAAUUAUAUUUUAUUGGGGUGAUAUUAAAAUUUAAUAAACUUUUAAUUAAGAAAAUCAUUAAUUUAUGAAUAGUUGAUCCGUUAUUAACGAUUAAAAAAUUAAGUUACUUUAGGGAUAACAGCGUAAUUUUUUUGGAGAGUUCUUAUCAAUAAAAAAGAUUGCGACCUCGAUGUUGGAUUAA